UACGUAGGAUGCAAGCGUUGUCCGGAAUUAUUGGGCGUAAAGAGCGCGCAGGCGGUAUGACAAGUCAGAUGUGAAAGAGGCCGGCUUAACCGGCAAGGGUCAUUUGAAACUGUCAGACUAGAGUGCAGCAGAGGAUAGUGGAAUUCCCGGUGUAGUGGUGAAAUGCGUAGAUAUCGGGAGGAACACCAGUGGCGAAGGCGACUAUCUGGGCUGCAACUGACGCUGAGGCACGAAAGUGUGGGGAUCAAACAGG
rnacentral:rRNA from 1 species